rnacentral:ncRNA from 1 species
CCGCACGCGUCGGGAGAGCGCGCUGGCCACGGAAAAACGCAGGCCGCGCCGCCGAAGGGGCACACCCGCAAACUCUCAGGCAAAAGGACCGGCCGCGUCGAA